rnacentral:tRNA from 1 species
CGCGGGGUGGAGCAGCCUGGUAGCUCGUCGGGCUCAUAACCCGAAGGUCGUCGGUUCAGAAGGUCGUCGGUUCAAAUCCGGCCCCCGCAACCA